CUUGACGACAAUAGCGUAUUGGAACCACCUGAUCCCUUCCCGAACUCAGCAGUGAAACGGUACAGCGCCGAUGGUAGUGUGGGGUCUCCCCAUGUGAGAGUAGGACAUCGUCAAGC
rfam:Oceanospirillum multiglobuliferum strain ATCC 33336 NODE_19_length_57948_cov_738.65, whole genome shotgun sequence.